CCAGACGUUCGGCCGAGGUGACUGGUCGGCGCUGACUUCAGCGGUCUACGAAGAAAGCCGAGCCAGGAAUGCAUAGAACUCCUUGCCGCGAGGCUCAAAUCUAAGUUCAAGAACCAGCGGAAGCGGUGUGGGAGCCCCAUCGUGGUAGAACUGAGGAAGCAGCAUGCCGACAAGCGCCACAAGUCGGACUCCCUGCUCCCCGGGUACUCACCUCCCGUCGAAAACCCGUCUCUUGACGAUCAGCGAUCCAUCAACCGCAUGUGUAAUGCGCCAGACGUCUCAGAAGAAGACGUCAAACGGCUGAUGGCGUCUACAUUCGCGGUGCGCCGGCAGGAGGUCAUCAAGGGCACUGCCAUGCGACGCCUUCAAAAACGGUUUCCAAAACUGUUCUCGCAGGAGCAGCUCUGGCUGGAGAUGGGACGCAUCACGGGCACUGAAGACGCGGAUGGAUUCAGAGAAGCAUGCUUCCGCCGCCUCGAUACCUGGCUGGAUCGU